UCUCUCUCUCUCUCUCAAAAAUAAAUAAACAUUAAAAAAACACAGUUCUUCCCUUUUACAAAUAUUUAUACAUCACUAAAUCAGAAAAUGCUACACCCUCAGGCAUGCUCCCAGCAAACGAGGCUUUGGCAGAUUGUUGACACCAGUUUGCAAAGAAAUGUCUACACUGUGAGUAAAUCACUAACUUUUCCAUCUUCUUGAUGCUUCCACAAUUCAAGAAAUGUUAAAAUGUUUACUAUCUUUUCUGUCUUUAAUUUCUAUCGGCGAGAAAAAGAUGAAACACGAAGGACUAGAGCUCCACGGCUGACCAAGGUUGGCAAGGUCACGGAAGAAACCUAGAACGCACGCGCCCCUGAGAUCUGGGGCCACAGGUGCACCAAGGUCCCGAGGAUCCGGCCUCCGCCAGCCGCUUCAGCUCAGCGAACACGUUUGGAGCCAGAGAAAACCACACACACAGAAGAAGCCUAGACUCAAGGACAAGACGGUCACAACAAGCACACGCACCAAAAGCUACUUUUUCCUGAAAGGAACCGAGGCUCUUAGGAGGAACGCCGUUCUGAGGCAGGCACAGUACGAGAUGAUCCUGAGACUUCGGUGUUGUGGUCCAAAAUAGGGACGUUGCCCAGACCAAGGGGGCUGUGUCCGGGGGCCGGUCUGGAGGAGACCCCGCCAUUGGAACAAAGCAGGUGCUUGAACUGCUGCUGUAUGUGUGUGAUGACAGGAAAACGGAAGAAAGCCUUACCGGUCUCCUCGUAGGUUCCCAAUUAUUCUGAAAAUUUAUAAAGAGGAAAGCGUCAUGUAUAUUUCGAAAAUACAACUUUCAAAUAUACUUUCCUCUACACACUGUAUUUCGGGUUAGAAAGCAGCAACAGAGGAAUUACAGCUGACCAGUGCGGAACAACAAAAUCAAAAUGGACAGCCAUCGUUCGCAACCACUAAUGAACACGUCUAGACUGUGGGAACCUGAGCCGGCCGGACAUGUGGCCUGGGGAGAGAAAGACAGACGAAAGUGUCAUAUGCUGAGAGAGCUUAAGAGACUAACAGCCAGAUGCGCCAUGGAGACCUUGAGUGGAGCCUAUUGGAACAAAAACAACUGUAGCAGCCCACUGACAGACACCUGAAACACGCAGAGCGAGACCUUCUUCAGGCAACUUCUGGCUGCCCUACUCCCUUGGUGUUUGUGUUUUAUUAAAGACUGAAAAUAACUUUAUCUCAAGGUCCUGAAAGCCUUGCUUCCAGAUUCCUUAGAAACUUACUUUAUCUCUAUCGCCCUCCCUCCACAAACCUGAAGGUGUAUAAUCAGUCACCCCUCACAACCCCAGGGCAGCUCUUUCUGCCCCCGGGUCCCGUCCCCGUGCUUUAGUAAAACCACCUUUUCGCACCAAAGACGUCUCAAGAAUUCUUUCUUAGCCGUUUGCUCAAGAACCCCAUCAGUGGGGAACAGAGAGAACAAAACUGGCUCAAUGUGAUAUGGGAGGCUGGUGACAGAGCCUCGGGGACUGUUGUGUGCCUACCGCUACCGUUGUGUGUGUUUGGAAAUCUCUGCGACGGAAAGCUUGAAGAGAGAACGCACAAUUGAAUUUGGCCCUCUCAGCCAAAAAGGAUGAAAGGAAGAAAGAAAAGAAGGGAAGAAAGGGAAAGAGGAGAGAGUGCCUGAGUGCGCACAGGGUGACCCAGAGGGCUAGCCUCUCCCGGCGGCGUGCAGAGCCCGCGGGAAUGACACCGCCAGGCAGGAGGGGCCGCGGCCAGGCCAGCAGCAUGACCGAAUCUUGCCCCUUCUGCCGCCUUUGUGCAGUCCCCACAUCACUCAUCCGGGACUGGUUCCUCGCCUCCGGCUGCGUUACUGAGGUGUGUCUCUCAUUGCGAAAUCCAGCUGGAGAAACCCGUCUUCCAGAGACCUGUACACUUUAUGAGCCCCGCACUGGUGGGUGAUGCUCUUUGCCAAGACUUACAGUCAAUUCCAGGGCUCUCGGGGGAAAUCUGAACCCCUUACAAGAGGAGGAACGUUUGUCCAGUUUCCUUCGGUUGAUCCCGUUCGGAUUCACCAGCCAUCAGCCUAAAAUCAGGGCUGGGAUGUGGAUUCUCACGGGUUCUGGGGAGGGUCACGAACCUGAAAUCACUUCCAUUCCAGAAGCACCCAUCCACAGCAUGACCGAAAAAGCGGACGGGGACGUGAGUUUGCCUUUCGUCCUCUCUCUUCCUCUCCUUUCCUGCAGGUGCAGGAUGUCUGGAGAAGUGGGAGAUGGGAGCUGGGAAUGUACAGAUGUGGGUGCGGGACAGCCACGGUGUUGUCUACACAGGGUGCCAUCACCCUAGAGACCCCUGGGACCCACGGGACUUUAGGAGAGCCUUUUCUUCCCCUCCACGGCCCCAGUACCUCUCCCGUUCUCAAUUUCACUGGGAAACAUAUCCCCGAAAGCACAGACUAACCUGAGAAGAUUCUCUGCGGGUUUACUUUUAUUAUUAACCCUUUUAUGAGAACUUUUAACAUCUACUCUCGUGGCAACUUUCAAAUGUACAGCACAGUUAUUAUGAACUACCACCAAUCACCAUGCUGUCUGCCACACCCAGGACCUACUCAUUUCAUAACUGGAAGUUUGUGCCUUUCAGCCCCUUCACUGAUGCCACCCGCCCCCACUCCUCCGUGUCUACGGGUCUGCUUUUUGUUUUGUGUGGCCGCACACCAAAGAAGUUCUCAGAUACUGGAUGGAGCGGACGUGCGGGCAUGCUUCCACCAGUGAAACAGCUGCAGCAGCAAACUGCACAGUCUUUAUUUCAUAUUUGCUUAGAUACGAGUAUCAAAGGAUAUCAAAGCAUGGGUAGGGAACACAAAGGAUCUUUAGACAUUAACCAGACAUGCACCUGCUGGCUACGUGAAGGGAGUACGUGUAGUUUCAAGGAGGGUCAGGGGGUCACAGCGGAUUUUGUAUCUAAUUGUCCUCUGCGGUGUCACGGGGCUCUGUCCUCAGAGUGCUAUCGCGCUCGACAGCCUUGGGACCAGAACAUCGCUGACGUUUCAGCUCUCACCCCGUUCACCCUCCAGGACUUACAAUACCCUCUCUAGCAAUGCCUCCACAGUUUUAUCGUUGCUGGUGUUUUAGAUCCCACAGCUGGCGAAUAUGAUCAAGGGGAGAGGGGCACACGCAUCUGGACUCCAUCCACAGAAGUCUGACUAAGACAUUUGAGGCUGAUAAUGGUCCUUGCCUGGCGUGGGCGUCGAGAUGACGACUGUGGACCUGGCUCUCGGCCACGGCUCCUGGAAUAGACCCGGCCUGUACCCUCACCGACACACCUUCUGCAAUCACAUGAACCCUCCUCCUGGACCCUCCAUGGAACCCCCUCCUCCCGGACCCUCACCAGACCCUCCUCCUGGACCCUCCACGGACCCUGGUACCACAUGAAGUAAUGUCACUUAAGUUUCCUAUUUUGGGGGUGCUCACCACCCCUCCCGCAGCCUCCCGUGUUCUCUGUUACACCCUCUCCGGCGUCCCUCUCUCUCCCCCCUUGACCUCACUGCCGUCCUCCUCCCCAGCAGCAGGGUGCAGGUGCUCCCACUCCGCCCAAGGCUCCUCCACAUCCCGUCUCUCCAGAGCCCAAGCGGCCGUGUCCCCGGCAGGGACCCGCUUGUCCUCGGCUGGAGCAGUGUGGGUCCUCUCGGUACUUCCUCUGUCCUCCCCCAGCAGCUUCUCACUGGCAGGUUACACGUGAUCACAUCGUUUCAUCUGCAGAAUUACAGAGACUUGUCCCCAUCCUCCUCUCUUCACAGACACGCUUCUGGCCGUCUUCCCCUCUUUCAUGGCCCUCUAUCCUCUGUCUGGCUCAGCCCUCCUGGAAUCAGCCUCCCUGUGGGAAGCCACCGGUCACCGGACCCCAAUAUCCCUGGACGUAAUAAGUCCUUGGACACGUCCUGCCCCACUCUCGCUCUCCCUGCUGGUGCUGUUCAGACUGCUGGGUCUGCGGGAGGGAAGGUCCCCACUCCCCGUGUCUCUGUCAUCACCUGAACUUCCAAUAUUUCCUGUGGUCUUUCUCUCUCCCUGGACAGUCUGGCCCACGUCCCGGCCUCGGCCAGCCCACAUACAGACGCUGCCAGGCUUGUCUCUAGAACGAUCUCUCUGGAGCGCUCCACACCCGUCUGCACACGGCUUCCCGGUCCCUAGGGCAGGUGUCCCCUUUACUGCUCAAAGCCAUGUUCUCCUGGAGCAGGCCCUGCGUCUCCCCCCAGACUCCCUCUGCGCACCUGAGAUCCCCGGUUUGGGCCUUUGCCACCAGGUCACUCAAGGGGAAACCCCGGGAACCCACUCUCCAGCCUCAGCUUCAUCCUGCAGUCGCAUGAACUGCGAUAGCUGAGUACCCCGCAGUUGUGUCCCGCCUCCCGGCUGCCUGCCUUCGGGUUGUCUUCUCGCCGCUGGAUGGUCGCACUGAUCUCUGGUCGGUGGUUCUACAAAUGUCCGCCCGGACCGGUCACAUCAGCGCCCCCUGUUCCACGUGCCCAACUUACAAGAGUGUCCAAGUGGUGAGACUUCAAGAGGUGACACUCUCGUAGAGCGUUUGCUUUAUUAGCUACACAUGUAAAAAUGGGCAAAUCACAGCUUGUCACCGUCUCGAUUCCCUUUUGCAUCUUCCUGAAAAUCCUGCCGGGUUCCAAACUGAAGUGAUUCGAGGCACCCGUGUUCCUCGGCCAGGUUUUCCUCUGUGCUUCCAUCUGUGUUUCCAAGGUCUUACCUGCUGACUAUUUGUACGGAGAUGGAGGCAACAGAUCUCUUGUUCUUUAUCCACUGACAAGGAUCUCUGUGUGUCCAACGUACAAGUCCAUUUUAUGACCUCUGCCGCCUCCGGGAAGCAUCUCAUGAUAUGUUUACCACUUUAUUGAAGAAAAGGGCAAACUCUGCACAACUCUUUUAAACUCUGGGAAGAGCUUAGCCCUGAGAUAAAAAAUAACAACGUCUGAAAAGAGCGGUGGAAGCAAGAUGGGGCCCCUGCCCCUGUGGCAGGUGCCGGGGACCCCCGAGCCAUUGGCAGGGGUGGGGCCUCAGCUCCCACAGGGACACAUGUGCUUUGGCCUUCAGCCUUUGCAACCUUUGCUCCCAGGGUCACAGCAGGCCCUGGGGCUCUGACUCCUGUUAGCCGAGGGGCUCUGAAAACCUAAUUCCCAGACCAGUGACCUCAGACCCCCAGGGGCUGGGGUGACGGGGGCCUCAGAACUUCCUGAAGACCCCCAGGGAUUGUGGCAUGCAGCUGAGGUAGAGAGCCAUGAUUUAAACUGUCCCUCCACAGAAAAUAGUUCCUGAUGACGUGAUUCUCCUGCUGGUGAAUAAUCUCUCCUGACAGAAAUGGCACACUGGGUGACUUGGGGAGCUGCCACUCUACUGGCCGCAAGCGGCAAAGAGAGGAGAGCAUGAGUGGAAGAGGAGCAGAAGGCGAAAGAGAAUCUUCAGGAGGCUUCAUGUCCAGCAAGGAGCCCACCCAACACAGGGCUCGAUCUCACGACCUGGGAUCAUGACCUGAGCUACAAUCAAGACUUGAACACUCAGCCAACUGAGCCUCCCAGUGCAGUGACUCGUGGGAGAGGCACAGCCUUGCUGUGGGUCUUAUCAAGGAGGACCCUGAUUCUCACCAACUACCAGUCCAAAGAAGCAACAGGAAACAAGAACAGAGCUGUGGGCGCCAUGCUGUGGUAACAGGAGAAGGCAGUUUCUCUGGAGCCACGCUGCCCUCUGUGGGGCCGAGGCAACCAGCAGAACCACAAGCAAAGAUUCGCCAAUAGGAACUUGCGUGCGGGGCUGCUGUUGGUGAGAUGACGGAAGUUAUAAUGACGUUGCUAAGCUUUUUUACAAUGUGUGCAAAAUUGGGAAAAAUGAUGGGCACACGUUGGAAAUGUUGUGGAUCUGGUUCCAGUCCAUUGGGAUAAAGUGAACAUUGAAAUAGAGAGUCAAGUGAACUUUUUGCUUUCCUGGUGCACAUAAAGUUAUGUUUACACCAUACUGUAGUCUGUGAAAUGGGCAAUAGCAUUAUGUCUAACGACACAGUGUUCAUAGCUUAAUUUAAAAAUAUU